rnacentral:rRNA from 1 species
AAUGAACGCUGGCGGCGCGCCUAAUACAUGCAAGUCGAGCGAGAAGACGUAGCAAUACGUUUGUAAAGCGGCGAACGGGUGAGGAAUACAUGGGUAACCUACCCUCGAGUGGGGAAUAACUAGCCGAAAGGUUAGCUAAUACCGCGUACGCUCCUUGGACUUCGGUUCAGGGAGGAAAGCGAUACCAUGGGUAUCGCGCUCUUGGUUGGGCUCAUGUCCUAUCAGCUUGUUGGUGAGGUAACGGCUCACCAAGGCUUCGACGGGUAGCUGGUCUGAGAGGACGAUCAGCCACACUGGCACUGCGACACGGGCCAGACUCCUACGGGAGGCAGCAGUAAGGAAUAUCGCGCAAUGGGCGAAAGCCUGACGCAGCGACGCCGCGUGGGGGAUGAAGGUCUUCGGAUUGUAAACCCC